UACGUAGGUGGCUAGCGUUGUCCGGAUUUACUGGGCGUAAAGAGCGCGCAGGCGGUCGUUCAAGUCGAGUGUGAAAGCCCCCGGCUCAACUGGGGAGGGUCACUCGAUACUGAUCGACUCGAAGGCAGGAGAGGGAAGCGGAAUUCCGGGUGUAGCGGUGAAAUGCGUAGAUAUCCGGAGGAACACCGGUGGCGAAGGCGGCUUCCUGGACCGACACUGACGCUGAGGCGCGAAAGCUAGGGGAGCAAACGGG
rnacentral:rRNA from 1 species